CCUCACCUUCUGAGCUACUCAAGAGAUGGGGGACAGGAGCAGUACUGCCAAGAACAGUUGUGCAAGUUGCACACUGCACAAGCAUACCAGACAGAAGCUAGAGCAGAAGCUGACGUCGUCUGUUCCCCUCACCACACAUUGCAUCUGCCCAGAGGAAGAGGUGCCGUGCUGGGCAGUGAAUGAAUGAACCUUGCCCUGGGUUUAACACUCCAGUGGGAUGAACAGACAAACCCCACAAGCACUGCAUACGGUGGUGAAACCAAGACACAGAACAAUGCAGUGGCUCCCACGUGUGGAUAAGAAGUAGCUUGUGGAUUUGAACCCAGGACACCUUGUCUGUGCAUUGAGCCAGGCCGAUCUGCACCCAGGCACCUGCCCAGGUAGAUGCAGGGCCUGUGAGAUUCUUCCAAGGCCUCCCAUUUUGAUGGGGUCCCCAGGCCUCCAGGCCUGCACUGGAGCUGGUCUGCUUCCAGGUGGAGCCAAUGGAGGGUCCUGGUGCGGGGGAGUCGGCGUUGGCGGGUGAUUGAUGGUUUAAUAUCUCGCGCUGCGACCCGGGCCCCUCCUCGCCCACGCCUCUGCGGGCGGCCCCCAGUGAGAGGUGGAGAUGGGAUAAUUCGGUUACCAAAAAGAGAAUGAAAAUUCCAGAGAGAGAAAGAGACAGAGAAAGAGGUGCAGACCAGGGAGUGAGCUGGGAGCUGAUUUGGCAGGGCUGGGCUUGGAUGGGAGGGAGGAGGCCGACUCUCAAAUCCGGAAUCCCUCUGGGGGCCUGGGGACUCACAGGUCCCAGCCGUCUUCAACUCCCAUCUGACUUCCUGUCUUGAGAACAGAGACAGCAGAUAUGACAAGUGAGAGGUCACAGGCAGGGGCAAGGCCUCAGAGGAGAGGGAAGCAUGUGGCCUCCGCCUGGGACAACUGCUGGCAGGUGAGGCCAAGGGGAGGUAGGGACUAGUGGAGUUGGGGUGGAGGGAACAGGAGAC
rnacentral:lncRNA from 1 species